UUCUUAUAAUACUUAAAAACGUGUUUAGAAUACACUAACAAAACUUAUAUAUUUUAGGUAUAAGUUAGUAGAAGAUACAGAGGUGACUUUAACAAAUUUACAGCAAGGAUUGGACAAGAUUUGAGGCCGAAUUCAAAAAGUUCUGUAGCUAGUCCUGGUACUAGGAUAUAACAAGUUGUUGUUACUUGGUUUGCGGAAGAAACUUAACUUAAUACUGAAUGAGUCAAAGACAAGCAAAACCAGAGAUGGUGGCUCAAUGUUUUGAUAUAUUCGAUAUGUGAAUGAUCGCAGGGAAGACAGG
rnacentral:lncRNA from 1 species